GGGGCAUUGCGGCAGCUAUAAUGCAGUCGAGCGGACAGAUGGGAGCUUGCUCCCUGAUGUUAGCGGCGGACGGGUGAGUAACACGUGGGUAACCUGCCUGUAAGACUGGGAUAACUCCGGGAAACCGGGGCUAAUACCGGAUGGUUGUCUGAACCGCAUGGUUCAGACAUAAAAGGUGGCUUCGGCUACCACUUACAGAUGGACCCGCGGCGCAUUAGCUAGUUGGUGAGGUAACGGCUCACCAAGGCGACGAUGCGUAGCCGACCUGAGAGGGUGAUCGGCCACACUGGGACUGAGACACGGCCCAGACUCCUACGGGAGGCAGCAGUAGGGAAUCUUCCGCAAUGGACGAAAGUCUGACGGAGCAACGCCGCGUGAGUGAUGAAGGUUUUCGGAUCGUAAAGCUCUGUUGUUAGGGAAGAACAAGUGCCGUUCAAAUAGGGCGGCACCUUGACGGUACCUAACCAGAAAGCCACGGCUAACUACGUGCCAGCAGCCGCGGUAAUACGUAGGUGGCAAGCGUUGUCCGGAAUUAUUGGGCGUAAAGGGCUCGCAGGCGGUUUCUUAAGUCUGAUGUGAAAGCCCCCGGCUCAACCGGGGAGGGUCAUUGGAAACUGGGGAACUUGAGUGCAGAAGAGGAGAGUGGAAUUCCACGUGUAGCGGUGAAAUGCGUAGAGAUGUGGAGGAACACCAGUGGCGAAGGCGACUCUCUGGUCUGUAACUGACGCUGAGGAGCGAAAGCGUGGGGAGCGAACAGGAUUAGAUACCCUGGUAGUCCACGCCGUAAACGAUGAGUGCUAAGUGUUAGGGGGUUUCCGCCCCUUAGUGCUGCAGCUAACGCAUUAAGCACUCCGCCUGGGGAGUACGGUCGCAAGACUGAAACUCAAAGGAAAUUGACGGGGGCCCGCACAAGCGGUGGGAGCAUGUGGGUUUAAUUCGAAGCAACGCCGAAGAACCUUACCAA
rnacentral:rRNA from 1 species